GCCUUUGUGGUGUAGUGGUCAGCACGCUCGACGUGUAACCGAGAGGUCCGUGGUUCGAUUCUCGGCGAAGGCG
rnacentral:tRNA from 1 species